ensembl:lncRNA
GUUGAAUCUGUUCAUCUGGACGUAGCGUUUUGUUCCUUCAGUGGGCUGGUUUCAGUCAUUAUGCAAAUGUACUGUUUAUAAGGUUUGGGGAAACCUGCAGUCAGCUGAGACUGAAGAAGUCACUUGGAUGAGUGACGAAACGUUUCUCCCACAAAACGCUACGUCCAGAUGAACAGAUUCAACUUUUGGAGAUACUCAGGUUAAAGAAACUCCAGCAGCUGUCUAUAGUAUUGAGUGUCCACUAGAAUAGAAAUAAAAGCGUUCUAACAUCUCACCUGCUUGUUUUUAUUAAGCGGAGUCCCGGAGCUCCACGGCCGGCUGGGAGGUUCUCUUCCCCGGCGUCCGGCUGGGGCUUCCCCCGUUCCCCAUACGGAGGCUCCCCGCGGGGCUACUCCCCCUACUCUCCGGGAUCUCCAAGCUACUCUCCGGGUUCUAAUCGAGGAUACAGAGACGGAUCUCCAGCCGGGUUCGGAAACGGUUCCCGGAGGUUCGGAGAUUCUCCGGCCGGGUUCAGCAGCGGCACGCAGGGGUUCGGGGGUCCGAUGCGGCGCAGAGGGGACGGUUUCCGGCGGCCUCAGUCCUUCAGUCCAACUUCAGCUCCGAACUUCAAGUCUUCAGAUGCGCCCGUGCAGAAGUACUUCAGCCCGUCUAUGGUGCAGGAUCCAUGGAAAAAUCUGCAGCCCGUCACCACCAUGGAUGCCGCUGCGGCCAGGCGGAUCACAUGACUGGAAAUAACACAAGUGGUGACCACAUGACAUCACCAGCAAUGAUCAAUAACUGUGAUGAGACGAACUGAAGUUUUUAGUCAGAUGUUUUAACCUUUUUAAAAAUUGUUUUUUAAACUGUUUGUGAAAAGAAGUUUUACGUUUUUAAAAUAUAAAAAGUUUAAAUUUUGCUUCAAAUCG